AUGAGUUAGGGUCUCCUCAGGCCCGAUCUCCCAACCCUAUGUCUACCUUACCACUUUGUUGCUUCGGCGGGUCCGUCCUGAAAAUGGACCGCCGGAGGACUGUUUACACGUCCUCUGGCCCGUGCGCGCCGAUGGCCUCAACUCAAAACUCUUGAAUAAAACGUGUCUUAAACUCUGAGUAUAAUAUAUAUAAAAUAAGCA
rnacentral:misc_RNA from 1 species